rnacentral:rRNA from 1 species
ACUACGGGAGGCUGCAGUGGGGAAUAUUGCACAAUGGGGGAAACCCUGAUGCAGCGACGCCGCGUGAGUGAAGAAGUAUUUCGGUAUGUAAAGCUCUAUCAGCAGGGAAGAAAAUGACGGUACCUGAUUAAGCAGCCCCGGCUAACUACGUGCCAGCAGCCGCGGUAAGACGUAGGGGGCAAGCGUUAUCCGGAUUUACGGGGUGUAAAGGGAGCGUAGACGGCAGCACAAGUCUGGCGUGAAAUGCCGGGGCUUAACCCCGGAACUGCUUUGGAAACUGUGCAGCUAGAGUGCAGGAGAGGUAAGUGGAAUUCCUAGUGUAGCGGUGAAAUGCGUAGAUAUUAGGAGGAACACCAGUGGCGAAGGCGGCUUACUGGACUGUAACUGACGUUGAGGCUCGAAAGCGUGGGGAGCAAACAGGAUUAGAUACCCGGGUAGUC